rnacentral:sRNA from 2 species
AAUGUGAUGGGUUAGCACCCACUAGUAAGUUAACUUAUGCAAUCAAUCCUCUAUCACUCAUUUGCCCUCUCACAUACUCUUGCACAUCCACAGAACACCUCUUUUCUCACAAUUCUGCUCCACACUUGUGUAGUCUCUAAUGAUUCCUCUGCAUAACUCUUAACAUUCUUCUGCUCCACACUUCACUGCAGUAUGAUCUCUGAUAUUCUUCUGUUCUGAUUCUUCUUCUAUAAGAAUCCUCUUGUAUGACCCCUUCUUCUGAUCUUUCUUCUCUUUCUUUUCUUAAUCAAUUCAUAAACUGUUAUCAGAAUAGUGUCAAGUCUGUUGAUAUUGCUGUUGAAACAGAUUGUACAAACUGUGCAGAUGGUACAAACAGUUUGAUCUGCAACAUCGGUAACAUCUGCUU